GACUCGGUGGCGCAACGGUAGCAUCGUCUGACUCCAUAUCAGAAGGUUGCGUGUUCGAAUCACGUCCGGGUCA
rnacentral:tRNA from 1 species